rnacentral:tRNA from 1 species
AGCUUCGAGGUGUAGGCACGUUAGAUUGCAAAUCUAAAGGAGCAGGAUAAUUCCUGCCGGGGCUU